rnacentral:rRNA from 1 species
UACGUAGGGGGCAAGCGUUAUCCGGAUUUACUGGGUGUAAAGGGAGCGUAGACGGCAGGGCAAGUCUGGAGUGAAAGCCCGCGGCCCAACCGCGGGACUGCAUUGGGAACUACCGGGCUGGAGUGCCGGAGAGGUAGGCGGAAUUCCUAGUGUAGCGGUGAAAUGCGUAGAUAUUAGGAGGAACACCAGUGGCGAAGGCGGCUUACUGGACUGUAACUGACGUUGAGGCUCGAAAGCGUGGGGAGCAAACAGG